UACGUAGGGGGCGAGCGUUGUCCGGAUUUAUUGGGCGUAAAGAGCUCGUAGGCGGUUUGGCAAGUCGGGUGUGAAAACUCCGGGCUCAACUCGGAGACGCCACUCGAUACUGCCAUGACUUGAGUCCGGUAGGGGAGUGCGGAAUUCCUGGUGUAGAGGUGAAAUUCGUAGAUAUCGGGAGGAACACCAGUGGCGAAGGCGGCGAUCUGGGUCGAUACUGACGCUGAGGUGCGAAAGCGUGGGGAGCAAACAGG
rnacentral:rRNA from 1 species